rnacentral:rRNA from 1 species
GUAGGGAAUAUUGGACAAUGGACGAAAGUCUGAUCCAGCGACGCCGCGUGGAGGAUGAAGGCCUUCGGGUUGUAAACUCCUGUUGCGAGGAAAGAAGCCGAAAGGUGACGGUACCUCGCGAGGAAGCCCCGGCUAACUACGUGCCAGCAGCCGCGGUAAGACGUAGGGGGCAAGCGUUGUCCGGAUUCACUGGGCGUAAAGGGCGCGUAGGCGGUUACGUAAGUCUGGCGUGAAAUCUCACAGCUCAACUGUGGAACUGCGUCGGAUACUGCGUUGACUAGAGGGCGGUAGAGGUACCUGGAACUAGCGGUGUAGCGGUGAAAUGCGCAGAUAUCGCUAGGAACGCCGGUGGCGAAGGCGAGGUACUGGGCCGUUCCUGACGCUGAGGCGCGAAAGCGUGGGGAGCAAA